AUACAGAGGGUGCGAGCGUUAAUCGGAAUUACUGGGCGUAAAGCGCGCGUAGGCGGUUAUUUAAGUCAGAUGUGAAAUCCCUGGGCUCAACCUAGGAACUGCAUCUGAAACUGGAUAACUAGAGUUUAGGAGAGGGGAGUAGAAUUUCGGGUGUAGCGGUGAAAUGCAUAGAGAUCCGAAGGAAUACCAGUGGCGAAGGCGACUCCCUGGCCUAGAACUGACGCUGAGGUGCGAAAGCGUGGGUAGCAAACGGGAUUAGAAACCCCAGUAGUCC
rnacentral:rRNA from 1 species